rnacentral:rRNA from 1 species
GACUGUCUCAUUUUAUUUGUUUUAAAAUUUAAUUUUUUAGUUAAAAAGCUAAAAUUCUAUUGGAAGACGAGAAGACCCUAUAGAUCUUUACAUAAUUUUAUUUAAAUAUUUAUAUAUUAAUAUUUUUAUAUAUCUUUGUGUUUUGUUGGGGUGACAAAAAUAUAUAUUUAACUUUUUUAUCUACAUAACAUUGAUUUAUGAAUAUUAGAUCCAUUACUAUUGAUUACUAGACUAAGUUACCUUAGGGAUAACAGCGUAAUCCUCCUCCAGAGUUCAUAUUUACAGGAUGGGCUUGCGACCUCGAUGUUGGAUUAAGGAUAAUAAUUAGGUGUAGCAGCUUAAUUUAUAGGUCUGUUCGACCUUUAAAUUCUUACAUGAUCUGAG